rnacentral:rRNA from 1 species
UACGAAGGACCCAAGCGUUAUCCGGAUUUAUUGGGUUUAAAGGGUGCGUAGGCGGAAUAUUAAGUCAGUGGUGAAAGCCUACAGCUUAACUGUAGAACUGCCAUUGAUACUGAUGUUCUUGAGUAUGAUUGAGGUGGGCGGAAUGUGUCAUGUAGCGGUGAAAUGCUUAGAUAUGACACAGAACACCGAUUGCGAAGGCAGCUCACUAAGCCAUAACUGACGCUGAUGCACGAAAGCGUGGGGAGCAAACAGG